rnacentral:rRNA from 1 species
UACAGAGGGUGCGAGCGUUUAAUCGGAAUUACUGGGCGUAAAGCGCGCGUAGGCGGCUUUGCAAGUCGGGUGUGAAAUCCCCAGGCUUAACCUGGGAACUGCAUUCGAGACUGCAUUGCUAGAGUAUGGGAGAGGGAAGUGGAAUUUCCGGUGUAGCGGUGAAAUGCGUAGAUAUCGGAAGGAACAUCAGUGGCGAAAGCGACACUCUGGGCCGGUACUGACGCUGAGGAGCGAAAGCGUGGGGAGCAAACAGG